AUAGCAACAGCAGCGUAGCUGAACAUCUUACGGAUGGCCCAGGGCUCCAAAGGCUCGUUUCCUAAGUGAGAGAGAGCCUGGCUGAAGCUGUAUUACCAUUCAUUCUCCAGCCUCCGAAGUCUCAAAGCAUCACUUCCACCAUACUCUAACUGUCAAGACAAACACAAAGGCCCAGAAAGAAGAAUACACUAUCGAUGUUCCUUUUAAACAAGUAUUUGAGUAAAAGCGAUGUUUCCAAUGUGUGUCAGAAAGUGAAUACUUGUAUAUUUCCGCACGGUUAGAGCUGAGCUUUCCGAGCAAAUUUUACUGGGACCCGGUUGAAAGACAGGUCUUGGAAGUGAAAUGAUGACUGACUAGAUGAAACUGCCAGACUGUCUUCUGAAGUGGCUAUAAUAUUUACACUCCCAUCAGCAGUGUAGAAGGGGUCUCACUAUGUUGUCUGGAGUGCUGUGGUGGAGUGGAGUGGCUAUUCACAGAGCCUGUUCUGCUGGGACACAGAAUCACUUGCUCCAUCUCAUACAUUGAUGAUGAUUAAUUUGUAUGUGUACCUUCCAAAAAAGAUGGUUGUGUUUGAAUGGAGGCCUUCUGGACAGGAAAAUUGCAAAGUACAAUUAACAUUUGAGUCUGUCUGAGUCAUGAAGAAAUGGAGAUUACUGAAAAUAAUUCAUUUUGGUAUCUUCUUACAUCCUGAGAGACUAAUCUUUCCAAGUUCAUCUGAGGCUCCUCUUCUCCAUGACAACCUCAUCCAGGGAUUUCUUCCUGUCCUGGUGUUUUAUGACAUCAUCCUCAUCUCGCUUGUAAGGAUAAUAGCCUUCCUCCAAACCUCACACACUUUUGGAGGAGAUCACUUUUUUUAAAGUGCAUGGAAAUGUUUUGAAACAGUGAAAUCUAUAAUGAUAGGUUUCAUAAUUCUAACAUCCACACCAUAUGAAUCACAUCCUUCCUGAGAUAAUGAGCACACAAUUGCCUGGAUACCUGAAGGAAUGGAGACAGCGGCAGAAAACACUGCAGAGAGGUGGAAACAUCCGUUAAUAUUUUAAAAUCCCAUUACUGCUACCAACAAUAAUAAUGGAUGCAUAGAAAUAGAUCUGGAUUAGCUGAGCUUGAAACAGUCCAUCUCACACACACACAAAAGAAUUUCAGAUACAGUGAACCCACAUGUUGAAGCUUUCUAGUAUAAUAAAAAUUUCAACUGUUCUGUUGAAUCAUCUGCCUGAUUGGAGGCUACAGAAAAGAUGUCAUCUUAGGAGUGCUUGCUCUGAGUGAGGCUCAUCUUCAAAUCUGAAUGACCACAAGGAGAUUUGAUUAUACAUGUGAACACCUCAGAAGGCACAGCCCACCCAGAAGGCAGACAGGUCAGGCUGCUUUUUCUUCAUUGCUUGGAUUCAAUCCUCCGGGCGGCUCAGGCUCAAACAUAACUUAAGCAUGAUUAAACUUUAGAAGAAGCUGCCAGGAAGACUGUGAAAUCUUCAUGCCCAAGGAUCCCUAAAAUUAGGAGCAACAACCACUUGGCUCAGACGGUUUAUGGAGGCAAAGGUUUGGAUGGGAUUAGAGAUUUCUAAAUGUGAGUUCGUGUCCUCUGCCAGACCACCUUACUUCCACCAUUCCUCAGCAAAUCAAGAAAAACAGGAGAAAAGACAUGCCUUUCCAUAAGUUAAAUCUAUUCUGUUUUAAUUCUAUAUUAUAUCUGCUGUACAACUUCUUUUGUUUGUAACACCAUAUUGUUGCUAGUAACUGGAAAUUAAUUUUCACAUGCCUCAGCUUAGAAAAAUAAAAAGCAGCCCUGCAUCAA
ensembl:lncRNA LINC00635 long intergenic non-protein coding RNA 635